GGUUAAGCGACUAAGCGUACACGGUGGAUGCCCUGGCAGUCAGAGGCGAUGAAGGGCGUGCUAAUCUGCGAUAAGCGCCGGUAAGGUGAUAUGAACCGUUAUAACCGGCGAUACCCGAAUGGGGAAACCCAGUGUGACUCGUCACACUAUCAUUAACUGAAUCCAUAGGUUAAUGAGGCGAACCGGGGGAACUGAAACAUCUAAGUACCCCGAGGAAAAGAAAUCAACCGAGAUUCCCCCAGUAGCGGCGAGCGAACGGGGAGGAGCCCAGAGCCUGAAUCAGCAUGUGUGUUAGUGGAAGCGUCUGGAAAGGCGCGCGAUACAGGGUGACAGCCCCGUACACAAAAGCGCAUGUGCUGUGAGCUCGAUGAGUAGGGCGGGACACGUGGUAUCCUGUCUGAAUAUGGGGGGACCAUCCUCCAAGGCUAAAUACUCCUGACUGACCGAUAGUGAACCAGUACCGUGAGGGAAAGGCGAAAAGAACCCCGGCGAGGGGAGUGAAAAAGAACCUGAAACCGUGUACGUACAAGCAGUGGGAGCACCCUUUGGGGUGUGACUGCGUACCUUUUGUAUAAUGGGUCAGCGACUUAUAUUCUGUAGCAAGGUUAACCGAAUAGGGGAGCCGGAGGGAAACCGAGUCUUAAUUGGGCGUUAAGUUGCAGGGUAUAGACCCGAAACCCGGUGAUCUAGCCAUGGGCAGGUUGAAGGUUGGGUAACACUAACUGGAGGACCGAACCGACUAAUGUUGAAAAAUUAGCGGAUGACCUGUGGCUGGGGGUGAAAGGCCAAUCAAACCGGGAGAUAGCUGGUUCUCCCCGAAAGCUAUUUAGGUAGCGCCUCGUGAACUCAUCUCCGGGGGUAGAGCACUGUUUCGGCUAGGGGGCCAUCCCGGCUUACCAACCCGAUGCAAACUGCGAAUACCGGAGAAUGUUAUCACGGGAGACACACGGCGGGUGCUAACGUCCGUCGUGAAGAGGGAAACAACCCAGACCGCCAGCUAAGGUCCCAAAGUCAUGGUUAAGUGGGAAACGAUGUGGGAAGGCCCAGACAGCCAGGAUGUUGGCUUAGAAGCAGCCAUCAUUUAAAGAAAGCGUAAUAGCUCACUGGUCGAGUCGGCCUGCGCGGAAGAUGUAACGGGGCUAAACCAUGCACCGAAGCUGCGGCAGCGACACUGUGUGUUGUUGGGUAGGGGAGCGUUCUGUAAGCCUGUGAAGGUGGCCUGUGAGGGUUGCUGGAGGUAUCAGAAGUGCGAAUGCUGACAUAAGUAACGAUAAAGCGGGUGAAAAGCCCGCUCGCCGGAAGACCAAGGGUUCCUGUCCAACGUUAAUCGGGGCAGGGUGAGUCGACCCCUAAGGCGAGGCCGAAAGGCGUAGUCGAUGGGAAACGGGUUAAUAUUCCCGUACUUGGUGUUACUGCGAAGGGGGGACGGAGAAGGCUAUGUUGGCCGGGCGACGGUUGUCCCGGUUUAAGCGUGUAGGUGUGUGUUCCAGGUAAAUCCGGUUCACUUUAACACUGAGGCGUGAUGACGAGGCACUACGGUGCUGAAGCAACAAAUGCCCUGCUUCCAGGAAAAGCCUCUAAGCAUCAGGUAACAUCAAAUCGUACCCCAAACCGACACAGGUGGUCAGGUAGAGAAUACCAAGGCGCUUGAGAGAACUCGGGUGAAGGAACUAGGCAAAAUGGUGCCGUAACUUCGGGAGAAGGCACGCUGACACGUAGGUGAAGUGAUUUACUCAUGGAGCUGAAGUCAGUCGAAGAUACCAGCUGGCUGCAACUGUUUAUUAAAAACACAGCACUGUGCAAACACGAAAGUGGACGUAUACGGUGUGACGCCUGCCCGGUGCCGGAAGGUUAAUUGAUGGGGUCAGCGCAAGCGAAGCUCCUGAUCGAAGCCCCGGUAAACGGCGGCCGUAACUAUAACGGUCCUAAGGUAGCGAAAUUCCUUGUCGGGUAAGUUCCGACCUGCACGAAUGGCGUAAUGAUGGCCAGGCUGUCUCCACCCGAGACUCAGUGAAAUUGAACUCGCUGUGAAGAUGCAGUGUACCCGCGGCAAGACGGAAAGACCCCGUGAACCUUUACUAUAGCUUGACACUGAACAUUGAGCCUUGAUGUGUAGGAUAGGUGGGAGGCUUUGAAGUGUGGACGCCAGUCUGCAUGGAGCCGACCUUGAAAUACCACCCUUUAAUGUUUGAUGUUCUAACGUGGACCCGUAAUCCGGGUUGCGGACAGUGUCUGGUGGGUAGUUUGACUGGGGCGGUCUCCUCCUAAAGAGUAACGGAGGAGCACGAAGGUUGGCUAAUCCUGGUCGGACAUCAGGAGGUUAGUGCAAUGGCAUAAGCCAGCUUGACUGCGAGCGUGACGGCGCGAGCAGGUGCGAAAGCAGGUCAUAGUGAUCCGGUGGUUCUGAAUGGAAGGGCCAUCGCUCAACGGAUAAAAGGUACUCCGGGGAUAACAGGCUGAUACCGCCCAAGAGUUCAUAUCGACGGCGGUGUUUGGCACCUCGAUGUCGGCUCAUCACAUCCUGGGGCUGAAGUAGGUCCCAAGGGUAUGGCUGUUCGCCAUUUAAAGUGGUACGCGAGCUGGGUUUAGAACGUCGUGAGACAGUUCGGUCCCUAUCUGCCGUGGGCGCUGGAGAACUGAGGGGGGCUGCUCCUAGUACGAGAGGACCGGAGUGGACGCAUCACUGGUGUUCGGGUUGUCAUGCCAAUGGCACUGCCCGGUAGCUAAAUGCGGAAGAGAUAAGUGCUGAAAGCAUCUAAGCACGAAACUUGCCCCGAGAUGAGUUCUCCCUGAGACUUAGAGUCUCCUGAAGGAACGUUGAAGACGACGACGUUGAUAGGCCGGGUGUGUAAGCGCAGCGAUGCGUUGAGCUAACCGGUACUAAUGAACCGUGAGGCUUAACCUU
rnacentral:rRNA from 1 species